GUUUGGAGAAAGGCAGAGCAACAUGGCCAAAUAGAAGGCUCCACUGAUCAUCCCUCCAACAAGGACGCAAAUUUAACAACUAUCUACACACAAAAAGAAGCACCUUCAUAAGAACCACAAAACAGAAUCCAGGCAACUUACCAUGAGAAAAUCCAUGCAGCCAUGCAGGGAGACCCGCUUAAGGAGGGACUGAGGAACCAAAGUCCGUGGCUCACAGACUCAGCUGAACUCUGAGUCAGCUCCAACUUGCCAGCCAAUUGAUUGAACAACUUGAAGUGAAAGAUUCCAGUUAAAAUCCAAUAUUAAAUAAGUUAAAGAUUGGAUAAAAUGACUCUAAAUUUCAUACGAAAGAGUAAACAUCUGGGAAUAAUCAUUAUCUAUUUUUCAGAACUCUGCACUCAUUUCCACACAGUGAAAGAGAAUAUAUAUAGUUUCUGAGUUUAAAAAAGCUACAGUUUAUUUAUUUAUUUAUUUAUUUUUAUUAUUAUACUUUAAUUUCUAGGGUACAUGUGCACAACAUGCAGGUUUGUUACAUAUGUAUACAUGUGCCAUGUUGGUGUGCUGCACCCAUUAACUCAUCAUUUAUAUCAGGUAUUUCUCUUAAUGCUAUCCCUCCCCCUACCCCCACCCCACGAC
rnacentral:lncRNA from 1 species